CCUACGGGUGGCUGCAGUCGAGGAUCUUCGGCAAUGGGGGCAACCCUGACCGAGCGACGCCGCGUGUGCGACGAAGGCCUUCGGGUUGUAAAGCACUGUCGAGGGGGAGAAAAGCCCCGCAAGGGGUCUGAUCUAUCCCUGGAGGAAGCACGGGCUAAGUUCGUGCCAGCAGCCGCGGUAAGACGAACCGUGCGAACGUUGUUCGGAAUCACUGGGCUUAAAGGGCGCGUAGGCGGGCUGCCAAGUUCGGGGUGAAAUCCUCCCGCUCAACGGGAGAACGGCCCCGAAUACUGGCGGUCUCGAGGGAGGUAGGGGCGUGCGGAACUAUGGGUGGAGCGGUGAAAUGCGUUGAUAUCCAUAGGAACUCCGGUGGCGAAGGCGGCACGCUGGACCUCUUCUGACGCUGAGGCGCGAAAGCCAGGGGAGCAAACGGGAUUAGA
rnacentral:rRNA from 1 species